CGGGGUGUAGCGCAGUCCGGUUAGCGCAUCUGCUUUGGGAGCAGAGGGUCGCAGGUUCGAAUCCUGUCACCCCGA
rnacentral:tRNA from 1 species